CAAUAGCGUAUAUUAAAGUUGUUGCGGUUAAAAAGCUCGUAGUUGGAUUUCUGCUGAGGACGACCGGUCCGCCCUUCGGGUGAGUAUCUGGUUUGGCCUUGGCAUCUUCUUGGUGAACGUAUCUGCACUUGACUGUGUGGUGCGGUACCCAGGACUUUUACUUUGAGGAAAUUAGAGUGUUUCAAGCAGGCAUACGCCUUGAAUACAUUAGCAUGGAAUAAUAAGAUAGGACCUCGGUUCUAUUUUGUUGGUUUCUAGAGCUGAGGUAAUGAUUAAUAGGGAUAGUUGGGGGCAUUCGUAUUUAACUGUCAGAGGUGAAAUUCUUGGAUUGGCCAACGACGAACUACUGCGAAAGCAUUUGCCAAGGAUGUUUUCAUUG
rnacentral:rRNA from 1 species